rnacentral:tRNA from 1 species
GCCUUUGUGGUGUAGUGGUCAGCACACUCAAUGCGUGACUGAGAGGUGCAUGGUUCGAUUCCCGGCGUAGGCG